UGAAUACGAGAUGCUACGGCGUCGAAGCAGUCUAUGUCAUACUUCCAAGAAAAGCUUGCACUGUCAUAAACAAAUAAUGCCUGUACCAUAACCGACACAGGUGGGUAGGUAGAGUAUACUAAGGGGCGCGAGAUAACUCUCUCUAAGGAACUCGGCAAAAUGACUCCGUAACUUCGGGAGAAGGAGUGCCUUAUUUAUAAGGUUGCAAUAACAAGAUCCAAGCAACUGUUUACCAAAAACACAGGUCUCCGCUAAGUCGUAAGACGAUGUAUGGGGGCUGACGCCUGCCCAGUGCCAGAAGGUUAAAGAAGUUGGUUAGCAUCCGCGAAGCUGAUAACUGAAGCCCUGGUGAACGGCCGCCGUAACAAUAACGGUCCUAAGGUAGCGAAAUUCCUUGUCGGGUACGUUCCGACCCGCACGAAAGGCGUAAUGAUCUGGGCACUGUCUCGGAGAGAGGCUCGGCGAAAUAGGAUUGUCUGUGAAGAUACGGACUACCUGCACCAGGACAGAAAGACCCUAUGAAGCUUUACUGUAACCUGAAAUUGAAAUUGGACUUUACUUGCGCAGUAUAGGUGGGAGGCGUUGAGAAUAUUCUUGCGGGAUUAUUGGAGCCAUCAGUGAGAUACCACUCUUGUAAUGUUAGAUUUCUAACUUUGUAUCAUUAUCUGGUCAAAGAACAGUUUCAGGCGGGCAGUUUGACUGGGGCGGUCGCCUCCUAAACGGUAACGGAGGCGCACAAAGGUUUCCUCUGAACGGGUAGAAAUCGUAUCUAGAGUGUAAAGGCAUAAGGAAGCUUGACUGUGAGACCUACAAGUCGAGCAGGGACGAAAGUCGGUCUUAGUGAUCUGACGGUGCUGAGUGGAAAGGCCGUCACUCAACGGAUAAAAGUUACUCUAGGAUAACAGGCUGAUCUCCCCCAAGAGUUCACAUCGACGGGGAGGUUUGGCACCUCGAUGUCGGCUCAUCGCAUCCUGGGGCGGUAGUACGUCCCAAGGGUUGGGCUGUUCGCCCAUGAAAGCGGUACGCGAGCUGGGUUCAGAACGUCGUGAGACAGUUCGGUCCAUAUCCGGUGUAGGCGUUAGAAUAUUGAGAGGAGCCUUCUUUAGUACGAGAGGACCGAGAAGGACAUACCUCUGGUGUACCAGUUAUCGUGCCAACGGUAAACGCUGGGUAGCUAUGUGUGGAGUGGAUAACCGCUGAAAGCAUCUAAGUGGGAAGCCCACCUCAAGAUAAGUAUUCUC
rnacentral:rRNA from 1 species